rnacentral:snoRNA from 1 species
AUUCCAUGGUGCGGGCAUGAAGCAAUAAUUCUAUUGAACCUUUCCCUAUAUUCAUAUAAACUCUCAUCAAGAUUCUGUCUGAUUCCACCGAUCUUCUUUCUAAUAUU